UGAGUGACAUAGGUGGAGGGGUGGGCGCAGGGCCCACGGGGACAUUCUUACUGUGCUACAAAGCCACUGCAAACAUAGCAAUAAAAACAUGUCAUUUUCCAAAGCGGCUCCUGCUUCUACCUCAGCUUCUCUCUGCAAGUAUUUGAGGGCCUCGGUGCCCGGGAAGGCCUUGGAACAAGAGUAGAGCAGGAACGAGGCCGGCGGAAAGCCUUUUCCCCACGGAGCUGACACACUUGGGGAGAUAACGAUAAAAGUACACUAAAGAAGAACACAUCAAGCAGGGAAGAGUGGGUGUGAAGUCAUGGAAGCUGGAGUUUUCACCAGGUUGCCCAAAGAAUGCUUCACUGAAAAGGAACUCAGAGCUGGAGUCGGCCACCCAAGGCCCUGCCUGCUUACCUGCAUCUCACCGGUCCCCUGGCUCCAGCUGCCAACCCCCAGGAGACUGACAUGCAGACACUCCCCAGGCUGUCAUAAAGUGGGGCCUCACCCAGUCGGCAGGCAUGGGGGAGGGGCAGAGCCUCCCAGAGCAAAUGCGAGCCUACCCAGCAGACCCAGGAGCAGCCCCUCACCCCAAGGCUGGCCCCCCAAGAAGCCUCAGAGGGUGAGUACUAUUGGCCUCAGGGAGAGCUACCUGGCCCCCGCCUGGCCAGUACCAUACCGGGCUUCAGAGAGGAGAGAAAGGUGGUCUCCUGAGGCACCGUGUUUGCAUCAUAACAACAACUUUUAUUGCCCCAAGAACUGCUGUGCCUGCUGCACCCUCCCACAGGAGCAGAGGAAAGGGGGCUCAACAACCAGGAAGCAGCCCCUACCCAGGCCGGCCCACACCUUCUGGAAAUGGAAACUGGGGGCGGGCUGGGGCAGAAUCACAGGGAAUUUGUAGAAACCAGGCCCCUGUCAAAUGCUGGAGAGGGGACGGCCCGAGGUGGAACAAGCAACGGAAGUGCGUCUGGGGAGGGGGAGGCAGAAGGCAGUGAGCUGCGGUACUGUGCAAGCAUGUGCCAGGUGGGAGGCAGCUGUGGGCAGGGAGGACAGAGCGCCUCUCCUCACUCCUCCUUCUUGUCCGUGGGACCAUCGACCGCUGCCUGGAAAGGGACAGAGAGCCCAGAGCAAUGGGUUGGCAGGGACCACCCUACGACUUUCACCUCCAGCCCCUAGCCCCCAAGGCCUAGCUUGGUUCCUUUGGCCCUGUGACAGGUACUCAGGUGAGCAAGGGACCCUGUCCUAACGGCACUCAAAGUUGCCAGGGUGAGACUGUCAACCCUCACCCUCACUCUACUGAAGGCCCUGAAGGACCAAGCUGGGGGCUUGCUGGCUGAGUGGCCGAGCCCCCGCCAGGGUGAGCCUAGCCUUCCUCAGAGCAGCUGGAACCUUACCUGAAGCCCCCUCACAGGCACUCCCCGUGCCACAGCAAGCUCUGCAUCCAAGGCCCUUUGAAGGCCUGUUCUGCUAUCUCCAAACUCUAUGCCUUCUGCAAACAUCUUGACACCCAAGUCCUACCACCCCAUGAGCCUGGCCUGUCCUGAGGGUGUCACUUCCCCCUUGGGGCUGGCCCCAGCUCUCCAUCUUCUGUGGCACCCAAACUUUGGCCACCAAGCACCAAGGCAAGCUGUCAGAAAACAGGGAUUGUUACCUGCCCCUCACGCCCAGCUUCAAGACCACCUGAGCUUCAAGAUGGAACGUGGUACUCCCAGGCUAGUCUGAGAACUUGAGGGUGGCAAAAAGCAGGGAAGGGAUUAAAAAACAUGAUCCAACUAUAUGCUGUUUACAGGAGACACACCUUAAACCCAAGGACACAAAUAGGUUGAAAGUGAAAGGAUGGAAAAAAAUAUUCCAUGCAAAUAGUAACCAAAAGAGAGCUGGGAUGGCAAUCUUAAUACCAGACAAAGUAGACUUUAAGACAAAAUCUUUCAGAAGAGAUAAAAUGGACAUGAUUUUAGUGAUCAAAGGGUCGAUUCAUCAAGAAAAUUUAACAACCAUAAAUACAUAUGCACUCGACAUUGGGGCAUCUAAAUACGUAAAGCAAACACCGAUCGAAUUAAUUAAAGGGAGAAACAGAGAACACUACAGCAACAAUUGGAAAUGUCAAUAUACCACUUUCAAUACUGGACAGAACAUCCAGAAGGAAGAUCAACAAGGAAACAGAGAACUUAAAUAAUACUGUAAACCAACUAGACUUAACAGGCAGACAUAAAACACUCCACCCCACACUCUCUGUUUCAUGGGUCAUUCUCCAGAAGAGACCACAUUUUAGGUCACAAAGCAAGUCUCAAUAAAUUUCAAAAGACUGAACUCAUACAAAGUGUUUUCUCUGACCACAAUGCAGUAAAGCUAGAUACCAAUAACAGAAAAAAAAAAAACCUGGAAAAUACACAAACAUAUGGAAAUUAAACAACAUACUAUUGAACUGGAAGCCCUGGUGGUGUAGUGGUUAAGUGCUACGGCUGCUAACCUAAAGGCUGGUAGUUCAAAUCCGCCAGGCGCUCCUUGGAAACUCUAUGGGGCAGUUCUACUCUGUCCUAUAGGGUCGCUGUGAGUCGGAAUCGGCUCGACGGCAACAGGGACACAGGUAUACUAUUAAACUACCGAAGAGUCAAGGAUGAAAUCAAAAGAGAAAUCACAAAUUUCCUAGACUCAAAUGAAAAUGAAAGCACAAUCUACCAAAACUUACGGGAUGUAGUGAAGGCAGUACUUGCAGCAGUAAAUGCCUACAUGAAGAAAGAAGAUCUCAAAUCAACAGCCCAACUUGACAACUCCAGGAACUAGACAGAGAGGAGUAAACUAAGCCUAAAUCUGCCAGAAGAAAGGGAGGAACAAUGAUCAGAGCAGAAAUAAAAUAAAAAACAGAACAGCAGAGACACUCAAUAAACCAGAAAUUGGUUUUGAAAAAAUCAAUAAAACUGACAAACCUUCAGCUUGACUGACAAAGAAAAGAGGCAAAUAACGAAAAUAGAAAAUGAAAGAGGGGACAUGACAACUGACUCAACAGAAAUAAAGAGAAUUAUGACAGACUCUGAACAACUGUACAGCAGCAAAUCGGAUAACCUAGAUGAAAUGGACCAAUUCUCAGACGCCCACAACCCACCUGAACUAACUCAAGAGCGAAGAGAGUCUCAACAGACCUGUAACAAGUGAGGAGGUCAAAUCAGUGGUGACAAUCCUCCCAAUGACAACAAAGAACUUACGGACCAGGGGCUUCACUGGGGAAUUCUACCAAACAUUUAGACGAGAAUUGCCACGAAUCCUGUUUAGCCUCUUCCAAAAGGUAAAGAAGGAAGAAAUACUGCCGAAUUCAUUCUAUGAAGCAAACAUAGGCCUGAUAACCAAACCAGACAAAGACACCACAAGAAAAGAAAACUACAGGCCAGUAUCUCUUAGGAACAUAGAUGCAAAAAUUCUCAACAAAAUACUAGCAAACUGAAUUCAACAGCAUCAUACACCAUGACCAAGUGGGAUUUAUUCCAGGAAUGCAGGCAUGGUUCAACAUGAGAAAAUCAAUCAACGUAACAUACCACAUCAAUAGAACAAAGGAAGAGAACCACAUGGAUCUCUAUGGAUGCAGAAAAAGCAUUUGAUAAAAUCUAACACCCCUUCUUGAUGAGAACCCUAAUGAAGACUGGACUAAAAAGAAAAUUCCCCAACAUGAUUCAGGGUAUAUAUACGAAAAGUCAACAGCCAACAUCAUACUUAACUGAGAAAGACUGAGAGCUUUCCCCCUGGAACUGGGAACGAGACAGGGAUGCCUGCUCUCACCACUUCUAUUCAAUGUUGCAUUAGAAGUCCUAGCCAGAGCAAUAAGACAAAAAGAAAUCAAAGUUAUCCAGAUUGGAAGAGAAGAAGUAAAAUUAUCUCUAUUCAUGGAUAUGAUCCUAUAUACAGAAAAUCCCAGACUCCACAAGAAAACUUCUUCAGCAAAGUUGCAGGGUACAAGGUCAACAGACAAAAAUCAGCUGGGUUUCUAUACACCGGCAAAGAGAAAUCUGAAAGGGACAUUAGGGAAACAAUUCCAUUUACAAUAGCAUCUAAAAGAAUAAAACACCCAGGAAUAAAUCUCACCAGGGAUGUGAAGGACUUACAUGAUGAAAACUAUAAAACACUGCUGAAAGAGAUUAAAGAAGACUUAAAUGCAAAGGUGUUCCACGUUUCUGGACUGGAAGCCUUUAUAUUGCUAAGAUGUCAAUACUACCCAAAGCGAUCUAUAGAUUCAACACAAUAGCGAUCAAAAUUCCAACUGCCUUCUUCAUAGAAAUAGAAAAACCAAUCCUCAACUUUAUAUGGAACGGCAAGAUCCCCUGAAUAGUUAAAGCAAUGCUGAGAGAGAAGGACAAAAUAGGAAGACUCACAAUUUCUGAUUUUAAAACACACUGAACAGCUACAGUAAUCGAAACAGCCUGGUACUGGUGUAACAUAGACACAUAGACCAAUGGAAUAGAAUUGAGAGUCCAGGAAUAAACACACACAUCUAUGGUCAACUGAUUUUUGGCAAGGAUGCUAAGUCCAUUCAAAGGGGAAAGAGGAGUCUCUUCAAUAAACGGUGCUGAGAAAAUUAGAUACCCACACGCAGAAAAAUGAAAUGGGAUCCAUGCCUCACAUCAUACACAAAUACAAAUUCAAAAUGGAUUAAAGACUUGAGUGUACAAACUAAAACCAUAAAAUCCUUAAAAGAACAAGCAGGGGCAAUGCUGUCAGGCCUAGCUUUCAACAGUGGGUUAUCUUACAUAACAACAAAAGCACAAACAGCAAAGCACAAAAUAAACAAAUGGGACCUCAUAAAAAACUCAAAAAUUUUGUUCAUCAAAAGACCUUACCAAAAAAGUGAAAAAAUAAGCUACCCACUGCAAGAAUAUCUUCAGAAACCAUAUAUCCAACAAGAAUCUAAUGAUCAAAAUACAUAUAAAGCUCCAACAACUUAACAACAAAAAGACAAAUAACCCAAUCAGAAAAUGGGCAAAGGACUUGAUAAACAUUUCAACAAGGAGGACAUUCAAAUGGCCACCAAAGACAAUGAAAAGAUGCUCAGUGUCAUUAGCCAUCAGAGAGACGUAAAUCAAGGCCACAAUGACAUACCAUUACACUCCCACUAGGAUGGCUAAGAUUAAAAAAACAGAAAAUAAUGUAUGUUGGCAAGGAUGUAGAAAAAUUGGAACUCUUACCCAUUGCUGGUGGGAAUGCAAAAUGGUACAGCCAUUGUGGAAAACAGUGUGGUGGUUCCUCAAAAAACUAAAAAUAGAACUACCAUAAAAAAAAUUUUUUUUUUAUGACCCAACAAUUCCAGUCCUAGGUAUAUGCCCAAAAAACUUGAAAGUAGAGACUCAAACAGAGACUUGUACUCUAAUGUUCACUGCAGCACUAUUCACAAUGGCCAAAGUGUGGAAACAACUUAAAUGCCCAUCAACAGAUGACUGAAUAAACAAAAUGUGGUACAUACAUAAAUGGACUACUACUCAGCCGGUAGGAGAUAUAAAGUCUGAUACAUGCUACAGUGUGGAUGGAGUUUGAAGACAUUAUGCCAAUCAUAAAAGUACAAAUAUUGUAUGACCUCACUUAUAUAAAAAAAAAAAAGAAAAGAAAAGACAAAUGCAUGGAGACCAAUGA